UGUGGUCUUGGGUAACCGAAACAGCGCAUGGCAGUACGGGGCGACCGGUGGUGGCGGCGGCAGCGGCGGCCGCCGCCGCCGAGCCGGGCGGCAACGGAAGGGAGGGAGUGGAAGGAGAGGUUCCACAUAGUCCGGCCGCGAAGCAGCGCGGUAGCACAAGUGUGGGGCGACUAAGGUGAAAGGGGGGCGGCACGCGGUAGCGGUCGUCGUUACCCGGGCGGUACGAAUGUCGCAAGGAAGCCGUCUCUACAUAGGGGUUACCGUUAUUAGAGAGCCCUACCACGUGGUAGACGGGGAUGCGGCAGCCGCACAGCGGUGCUCGAUGGGACGGCCUCGAGGCGGACUGACUGCCUUUCUCUUUCUACCUCUUUUGACUCCGUAACUGAACCUCGCAACCCUCAAUACUGACCGGGUAAGCAGGUGUAUGGGACACACUUGCACGCUGGGUGACCACUUAUGUAUCAUCUCAUAAAAGAAGAUCGUUAUGCAUCGUUCGUGAGUAGGGACUUGGCUUAGUAUUUCAAUAGUCGUGCCAACUAUCUGCACGUCGGUGAGUAAGAGCCCUCAUGAUUCGGGUGCGAAAGUAUACGUUCUCGUUGACACGUUUCUUAACAUCGGGUGCUCUAUAAAGAACUACCCGUUAAGGGCUGCCGCUGGCCGUUUGUUACGACUUAUUAGGAGCGAGAACGUGGAACACACCAGGAUCUUAGUAGUUGCAAGGCCCGUUUCGACCUGUGAGUAUGAGGACGUUUACACUACUGACUACUCGAAUAGAACUUGUUUUUGGUGUGUUUUUCAGUCUCGUCGUAAUCUAGCAGGUUCCGAGGUUCGUAGAAGUACGGUAGGAGGAAGAGGAAAGUAACGGAGGUAUACUUUUGUAGAGGAAGGUAAACUAGUGUCCGUAUACACUUUCUUCCAUACUGAGGGGAGGGUCAAAAACAGGAGGACAGUAACCAAACAAAGACGUUUAGCCUACUGGCGGAAUGAGGGCGUUUUGGCGAGUUACGGCCGCUGUUCGAGCAAAGCUCGCCGCCGCAGAAACGAGAACCGAAGAAGUGGGGCCGUUUGAGUUGACGCCUGAGCAUGUAGCCGUAUACCAUGUUGUUCUAGGGGCUCGCGUGAAUACAAACCCAACGAUUGGCGCUGUUGGGCUAGUUCUUACCAAGAAGACCCUUCGACCAACACUCGUCAUUGAGACUGGAGCAGAACAGACUGAGGGUUCCGGUAUGAGAGACCUGUUGGUGUUUGUUGAAGUGUAGGCGUUGGUGCCCUUGACGACGAUAUGACAACCUGGGGCCUUUGAACCAGUAGGCCAACGGCUUGCCGUGUCUGCAUACCGUCUCGAAGGUAAUGGGCUGGCUGUGGCGGGAGGGACUGUACCAAAAUGGUGACUCGUGUUUACUACCAUAGAACUCCGCGGAGCAACGAACCUCCCCGGGACUACUGGGCCGGAGGUCGCUGAUGAGGUACCCACCACUGAGGUCGAGUCUGGAGGUCCAACAGUAGACCUUACCCUGCUCUGGUAUAACCGCGUCUAGACGCACCCUACCCAGUAACCAGAGACGGGACAUAGUUUCGUAAUGACCGAAGUAGCAUUGACUUUGUUAACAACUGUCUCCCCCACUCAAUAUGUACUGUAAGUGGCAGAGGCUCCCUAGUGGUUCGUACGCGUACUACGACCUGAUGUUCCCGUGAAAAUUUAAAGACCACACCUUGUCGUUGAGUAGUAGUACCCUCCGAAAGUAUCUCGUAGGAUCAGGAUAGACACUUGCGAUACGCAUAACGCCUGGUAAACCGAUGACACUACGGUGACUUUGUCAAGGCUUUACGUUGACGGAGUCACCCAAACUCGGACUACCGCAAUUGAAGAGGUUUCCCACAGCCUCUUUCCUCCUAGACUUUACACCAUUUCUGUUAUUAAAGAGCUGGGACUCUCCAUACUUCUGUGGACUGUUCAAGAACAUACAGUUCUUGUCUUCGAAACUGGUUACGUGUCUUCUCACGUCAGCGUUAACGAGAACAAGGCGUAUACGAAUACGAUUGGACUUUUUACUUUCCCGAAUACGAUUGGACUUUUUACCUUCACCCCUACGCCUGGUCAGUUCCACGAAUUAAACCAACCCUCCUGAACAGCUGUGCCCCUUUAAAGUACUACCACCACCACUCUUGGACAUGGAGGCGGAACGGUCAAGUUGUCAACUGUUCCUCUCAUUACAUAACUUCUAAUAUGAGGGUUAUCACCGACCAGACGACUAUGAGCGUAGGUAGACGGAACACACCUAUACGUUCAGUUCUCCAUUUGCUGCUUAGUUCCUCUAAUUCUUGUUUGUAUGUGCUGUCGUGAACGUUUUAAGAUUCAACUUGCUUGAACUCUUACUUUCAUAUCUGGAAGGUAUAUAAACGAAACUUCUGUAACAAUGACGUUAUCUGUUAAAGAGUCUGAUGUUUUACGAACCCUUUCCACCGAAACCUUUUCAAAUGUUCCCUGAUAAUCUUCCACCACCAUUCCUUCAACGACAGUUUUCCGAAUCAUUUUCAAGGCCGGUUCCCCGGCUGCUCAAGUCUUUACUUCAACAAGAUUAACGGUUUAAUGUCGUAUCUUUGAAUCAAUCUGAAGAACCAAUGACGUGAGUACUUCUACUUUUCAAUAGCUAUAUACUUAUGAAUGGAUUGUUUUCGAACCUACGGAAGGAAAAACCAUACAAGAUUGAAUACCAGUGCAGAGUGUGUUGUAAUACACUACUAGCAAUUACAAAAAAAAAACGUUCUACGUUGUUCUUUAAGACACGAACUAACCGAAUGGGCCAAGUUCCAUUAAUUUCCCUAUCGCUCUCCAGAAGAAAUAGAGGUGGUUCUAAGUUCCAAUUGUUAUUAAGUAUCCCUAGAGUUUCGUUCGUUAUAGAACAAUCUACGUCUUUACUUGGGAUUUUAUAGUCUAAAAACCAUACCGUUCCUAUAAACUUCCUUUACUCGUUGUUCGCUUGUGAUAGGCGCAACAACCCUGUACACCAAUGUACAGAGGACUUAUACGUUACCUUCCAAGGAGAAGACAGUUCAGACUGUGUAUAUCGAAACCGCAAGAUAACAACCUCUAACAUUCGCCCAGUUUCUAGUCAAGUAGGGUAAAGUACUGCCUGAAAUGUUUGGAAUAUCGAAUGCGGACCUCGAAUACCUUUCUACCUUUACGUUCUCUUAACCACCUGAGCAGGUAACACCUCUUGACAGGUGAAGUACUUCAAGAUGCUACAUAAGUAUAUCCAGAGAACACACAAGUUCUGUUAGGUUCACGGUCCGGCGAGUACAGUAGGUGACACAAGUACGAUCUUUUACUUUGCCGGGGCGAAGGAUGAGGCUUCCUCGGAGAUAUGAAAUCCGUUGCUAUACUACUCCAACUUCUGGUUUCUCUAUGGUACCCUUAUUGGGACUUAUUCUACUGAUAGUGACACGUUCUCCCCGCAAUCUACAAAUUAAGUAACAAGAGGAAAAAACAUUUGAAGAGAUCAAACAUAUCCACUUGUCAAGUCGUUAAGUAUAAGGAUACCUAUUUAUUUAUUAGGUAACUCACGUAACAUUAGGACCAGCACCCAAUAAAAGUAUCUACCAAAGGUACACACCUUAAAUGCAUAAAACGAGUAUACAAGGAGUGGAACAGUUCACCUCCUCCGAUGGACUAAAUAAAACAGACAUAGGUCGAAGGAGCCAAUCAGUUACCAGACUUCGAGACUUAACGAUUAAACCAUUUUUCCGACGAUCAUUAAUAUACAAGCUAAAAUCGACCGUAGAAUGACACUUUAGGUAAAAAAAAUACAAUACAACGAUAACCGUUCACUCUAACCACAUGUGCGGGCUUAAGAC
rnacentral:rRNA from 1 species